rnacentral:lncRNA from 1 species
UCCUGGAACAUAGCCAGUCUACUUGCAGUGAAACAAUAAUCAUUCAAACACAGCCUCUCAAGGAUGGAAAAUGGAUAACUGUCCCAUAUUCAAACAGCUGUAAUAUGAUAGAUUAAAGUGGGCUAACCACAAGCUGGGUGAACAGAAAUUUUUUUUUUUUUUUAGUAUCACUCUGUUGCACAAGCUGGAGUGCAGCGGCACGAUCUCGGCUCACUACAACCUCCAACUCCCGGGUUCAAGCAAUUCUCAUGCCUCAGCCUCCGGAGUAGCUGGGACUACAGGCACGUGCCACCAUGCCCGGCUAAUUUUUGUAUUUUUAGUGGAGAUGGGGUUUCACUAUGUUGGCCAGGCCGGUCUUGAACUCCUGACCACUUGAUCCGCCUGCCUGGGCCUCCCAAAGUUCUGAGAUUACAGACGUGACCCACUGCACUGGCCAGAAAAAUUCUAUAUAUGUGUUGAGUCAUGACUUCAAAACACAGACUGCAGUUGCUGGGGAAAAUUGCAACAGACAGAAAGAAUACAAGGUGUGCCAUACAACGGACAGAAAGAAUACAAGGACUAGGGCUGCUCAUUCUAAGAAAGAGCAUUAAAAGGCCUGGAUACUCUCAAAGAGCUUUCAGCUGAACAGAAGGAGGACAAUGCAAGGCCACAUUUGGCGCCAUCUAGUGCUUAAUGAGUGCCAUCUUGGAUGGCCCCCAAAAGCAAAGAGUCAAGGGCUCCAGCGUGAUAUUUUAAAAGUUUCUCUGACCUGGCCGGGCGCGGUGGCUCACGCCUGUAAUCCCGGCACUUUGGGAGGCCGAGGCGGGUGGAUCACGAGGUCAGGAGAUCCAGCCCAUCCUGGCUAACACGGUGAAACCCCGUCU